rnacentral:lncRNA from 1 species
AUUUAGAGACAGGGUCUCAUUGCGUUGCUUGGUACUUUGCUUUUGCUGAGGCUGGCUUUGAAUUUGGAUCCUCCUGCAUCAGUCUUCUGAUUCCUGCUUCUUUUUAAAAUUUUGUUUUGAGAUAGCAUCUCAUUAAGUUGCCCAGGUUGGCCUUGAACUUACCAUCCUCCUGCCUCAGUCACCUCAGUAGCUGGAAUUAUAGAUGUGUGACACCAAACUUUCCAGAUUCCAGAACUUUCCCCAGGUUAUGCAGCUAGUAAGUGCUAUGACCAGGAUUUGUACCCAGUCAUUCUUACCCUUCAACCCAUGCUCUGAACCACUCUUCUCUACGUCCUCCAUUCCCUGAGGUCUCUGACAUCAUGAUUCUGGAUUCUCUCCAUGGCUUUUUCUCUCACCAGUGGUGCCAGAAAGAGAAUGUUCUUGGGACUUUCAUCUGAAAGUCCAGAAGAAAACAGCCUGUGUAAGUUAAGAGGCCCCUUACUUCCUCUGUACUAGAGAUGCCAAUCAAAGCUGUAUACUCCAAAGAUCCCGUAUCAGCAGGGAACAAUGUGUAUAGGAAGACAAACAAAUCCUAGCCAGGCAGGAAAGGGGAGUUCCUCAUGGUUCUGUGAUUUCCCCUUCUCUGUUCUCUGGCUUAUCAGCAAGGCUUCAUGGUACUGAUUCUAUAGUCCUUUGAACCCAGUGUGUUACGAUAGGACACCAGGAUAAAGAGACCCUUUCAGAACAAGAUAAAUAGCCUAAAUGGCCACUACUCAAAAUACAUACAUGCACAGAUUACAUCCAUGAUACUGAAUAUAAAGGAACAAAAAUAAAUCACAUUUAUUUAUACAUUUAACCAAUUGCUUUUAGCAUUCACUUAAUCAUUAGACGUGGCGGUGUUUGUGAAUCCAUGUAAGCCUUGCAAGAUGCUGAAAGGUAAGUAUUAUUAUUCUCAUUUUACAGACAAGGAGACUGGGCCCUUUUGUCCAUAUUGCCCAUGGCCACAUGGUGGUAAGAAGGCAGCUGGAAUCCAAACCUAGGUUUGGUCAGUCUGAUUCCAAAAUCUGCAUUCUUUUCAAUAAAAUGACUGCUGAAAAGAACAAAAUUACGAGACUGGAAAGAUCUCAAAAUAUAUUUGAUUUAUAGUUUUCAUAAGUAAAGGUGUUACACUUUAUGAUAGUAACUUCUAUUUAUUGCAUGCUUACUAAGUGCCAGGCAUUGGGACCAAAGGCUUCCCAUGCAUUAUCUAUGCUACUUAGUGAGACACAAGCUCAAAAGAGUUAGGUAACUGGCACAAAGUCACAUACAAGCCAAAUAAGCAAUGAAUCUGAGCUUCAAACCCAAGUCUACUUGAUUCCAGAGUGUGUGUUCUUAAACACAAUGGCAAUAACAAUGAUGAUAAUGUACAUUGACUAUAAGCCAAGUUCUGCUUUAAGUGCUUUGUAUCUUAUAAUCUAGAGAUAUUAUUAUCAGGGCUGGGGUUGUGGCUCAUCAGUAGAGUGCUCGCCUUGCAAGUGCGAGACCCUGGGUUCA